CAGUUGGUGAGAGCAGAGGUGAGGUACCUGACCUUGAGAGGAGAUCUAUGCCGUCAGUAGAGCGCUGAGGUGACUGAGAAGAUGGCGGCGGACCCUCCUCCAGCAAUGGACAGUAAUGUGACUCGUCCCCCAUACAAGACAAGAUUGGGGAUGCGGUUGUAAUCAGAGUGACAGCGGCAGGAGCAGUUUCCAAUAGUGACGGGUGGAGCAGAGGUGAAAUUGCCAGCCCUCUGUGUGUAUUAUUAAAGGCAGGAGACGGGCCUAGAUUCCCCAAAUAGGGACAAUAAUGGGCAGCGGGGAGCGUUAUCUGCCUACUGGAGCAUGAAAGCCGGCGCAGGUCCUGCACAGACAGCUGUCUACAGCACAGCACUUCCAUUACUACUGCACAGGGCUUUCUGGAGUAGUCAUGGCAACAUACAACGGCUGCAAAUGAUUUCCUCUAAUAAUAGCAUGAAAAAUGAUGAUCAUUUCAUUGAGGUUAUCUAUAUCAGGUAACGCUAAAGAAAAAUUAAGUUGCUCUUUUAAAUUUACAGUAAUAAAGUGUUCGUCUCCUUUGAGAA